UAUUGACUGGUCUGCUGCUAAAACUUACCCUACAUCUAACUUUUCACAGUUGCCAUUUCAAUUCAAUUCAAGUUUAUUCUCUAUAAGGGUUACAAUGUGGGGUUUACAGGUUUUGGGUAUUGUGUGGUUUACAUGUUAUAAAAUACUAAUUACAGAGGGGGCCACUAGGACACCUAGCAUGGCUAGGCAUUUCGAGCAGACUUAGAUUAAUUCUUAACAUUAAAUCCUUAAAGAUUAUGGUAUUAAGGCUGAGUGACUACAUCAUAAUUUGUGAGUUUAGCAAUGUGAAUGCUUUUGUUUUGGCGCAAUACACAAUGUCUAUAUUGGAGUAUCAUAGGCAAACUUAUGACUAGUUAGGAUUUAUUAUUUUAAGAUUAAGAUAAGUAUUUCUGGGUUUAUAGUCAGUGGGUGGGUGAGCGAGUGUAAUUGUGAACCACCAGGUGGUUAUCAUGUAGUAAGUUGUCGGGGUGGAUCAGGGUUGGGUUGAGGAUGUUUUGUGACGUUAUAAAUGAAUAUAGUCUCCUGUGCACGAGUUUCUCGAAGAUUUUGGAUAGCAAUGGCAAGUUUGAUAUUGGUCUAUAGUUGUUUACGUGUAGGGUCACCACCUUUAUGUAUUGGUGUAACCCUUGCUGUUUUGAGUAGUGUCGGGAAAGUGCUAGUUUCUAGUGACUUGUUAAAAAGUAAUGUAAUAGCAUGCGAAAGGACAUGGGCCGCUCACUUGUACAAUAAUGGUAGGACGUGAGACAGAUUCCCCGAGUUAUUUUUAAGUGACUAUGAUCGCAGUGACUUCCGUGGGCUCAGUUGGUACAAGACAGAAGGAAUUUGGGAAAUUCCCAUCUAGGUAGUCCCCGGCACGGGCAUUGGUACGUGGGAUUUUACUGGCGAGAUUAGAUCCUAAGUUUGAGAAGUCGUUUAUCUUGUUAGCUGUAUCAGUGGGAUGCAGUGGUGUUUCAUGAGGUUUAGUUAGAACAAUAUUCUUGUUUUUUUUCAGUUUGUGGGUCCCCAGAAUCUGGGAAAGUGUUUUCCAGGUCUUUUUUAUAUCUCCUCUUGUGUCAGUGAAUCUGCUGGAGUAGUACAGUUGUUUGGCUUAUUUUAUUAAUUUGGUGUGAACUGUUGAAUAUUGUUUAAGAAUAUCUUUAUGUAUUAAGCCCUGUCUAUAUUGCUUUUCAUAUUGGUGUUUCUUAUCAAUGGAUUUCAGAAUGCUGCUGGUUAGCCAUGGGCAACCAAGCCGUUUAUUCGUGAUCUGUUUCGUUUUUAUAGGACAAUGUUUGUUGUAUAGUCUAAGUAUUUUGUUAAGAAAAAUGUCUGUCCAAUCGUCAAUACCAUUGGCAGUGGAGAAUUCUGUAGGCCAGUCAACAGUCUCUAGGUCUGUUGUGAAAUUCCUUAUUGAGGCCUCGUCAUGGAGUCUAAAUGAAACUUUGUUGUAUUCAAGUGGUGGCUUACUAAUGUUUGUUAAGAGGAAGGUUGGGUAGUGGUCAGUAGUGCUGUCUGUGAUUAUCCCUGAUUUAAGGGGGGCUAGUAUAUUGGUCCAUAUGUGGUCUAUUAUGGUUGCACUUGUCUCAGUCAGCCUUUUUGGUUUAGUUAUUGUUGGUAUGAGAAGUGUGUUGUUCAUAUUGUUGAUGAAAUCAGUUAGUCUGAUCAUCUGGUAGGCCAAGGUUGAUAUUGAAGUCUCCAGCUAAGAAAAGGUGGUGCUUGUUCAUUUGUCUGUUUGUUAUUAGUGACUUUAGAUUCUCACUGAAGUUUGGGGUGUUUGUGUGGGGUAUCCGGUAUAUGGCACCGAUUGUUAUAGGCGUCUUGGUUGAAUCCUCCCUUAUACACAACUUUCCUUGUAUGAAUCUUAGUCCUGGCUUUGUCUCUGUGGAUGCUAUCCUUUCCCAUUACAUUGUAAAAUGCUCCAAACUUCAGAACACCUGUGACUUAAUCUGAUUCUUUUUUCCCCUUCUCUCUCUUCCCAUUUCCUCUUUCCUCUUUUUCCUUUGGGUUUUCUUUCUUCUGCCUUGGGUAUUUGUUCUUUCAUUAUUUUUCAACCCCUCUGUGUUCUUGCUCCUGCCCUCUGUGGGACUCUAGCUCCCUUGCAGUGCUCCUCUUUCUUAGUAUUUGACUGGCCUAUAUAUACUCCCUCCUUCUCUCCUUUCUGUUAGUGUGACUUUGUAAAUGGUCCACGUUGGACCAAAACGUCGCCGUAAGCCCUCUCAUCUAUGUGCGGGUUAUUUGUGUAUUGUUCCAGUCACGGUAUUGUCUUAUUUUGUUAAUUACAUGAUGAGUUCUGCUCAGUCAGAUAGCAGUGAGGGGUAAAUUUAGGCCUAGAUAUGAGAGAAUGGAUUAAUGCGGUAAGUGUGCACCAUAUAAAAAAAUCCUGCCCCAGGAGUACAUAACGGGGAAAAAGAACUGCGACUGUGUUUUUGGUUGAAAAUAGUGACUUUGCGAUGUAUUUUUGGACGGUUUUUAUGGUUGUAUUCUUGGUUUCUUGGUAUCAUUUGAUACAGUGGAAAAUGUAUUACAGAAGUAGAGAUGAUUUUGAUUGGUUUCAAGACUGGAAGUAGUUGAAUUCAAAGUGGUGGAAAUAUUUGAUUUUUGCCGAUAUUCCAGAGUAAACAAAUCGUGUCACUCGUCCAAUAUGCGUCUAACCAGUCAGUCUAAUAUGCAUCCAUGAAUGCACUGACAUUAUUUAUACAAUUAUUACAAUAAUGCACAAGAGUAAGCCUAUUUUUUUGUGUGAAUAAAAAUUCAAAAUGGAAUUCCUGUAUAAAGUUUGGGAACAUAACUGUUGAACAGACGAAUGUUGUUUUAGUGCCAGGAAUGCCUGCAUUUUUUAUUCUAGAUCCUACUUUGAAAUUUGUGUAAAAUUGGUCAAAUUACCAAUUUCUGAUUACUUUAUUAGGUAGUUGAAAUAGUUGAUUGGGCAGUUUCUUGUACCCAGUCGAUAAAAUGGAAGCCAUACUAGCAAAAUAGCUAAGAAUUUGGUUGACUGGAACAAUGUAAUUGGCCUAAAGUAGGACUCAGAGUGAAUAAAAUCGCCCAUGUGUAAAUGUCACUGGCACAGGAAAUUUGUGAAAGUGUAAUUUUGUAAGUUUUCCAUCAAAGUUUGCAUUUUUUGUUUUAUUACCUUCAGAAGAAGAUUCUCUACCAUUUCAUAAGAAAAUUUUUUUUUUUAAUUCUUGGACACUAUGGACACUUUUCAGAUCGAGAGUUUGGACACUUUAAGGGUUAAAAUUUCAGUAUUGUCAUUAGAAAUUGCAAAAGGGUUGCAUGAACAGCAUUGUAUGUAUAUGCUUAAAGACUGAUUUUUCUUUGGCUAAAAAAAUCAGAGAGGCAAGAAGAGUAAAGAAUUUCCCUUUUUCAAGUUAUCAUUUGAUGGCCACAAUGUUUUUACUGGAAUACUGCAUUUGAUUUGCAAGUGCUGAUAAUCCAUUAAACAAAAUGAGAUGCGUGUUAUAGAGGCUAACUUUUACAAAUGCCACAGGUUCUAGAGGUGGCCAAGAAGUUUCUGGCAUUGCUGGAUAAAGUUGCUUACGAGACUGAUGAUGACUUACUCGUUGGUCGGAUAUUUCUUCUGUGUGCUGAUGAACUCUGUGAUGUUUACAAGGUGUAUUGCUCAAACCAUAAUGUUGCUGUUGAACCCUUGCUAAAGCAGUAUAUAGAAGAAGCCGAGCCAGCAGCAUUCCUUCAGUGGGUUCUGGGUGAACUGCAGCAGCAUAAAAUUCAGUUAAUGGAUAUGAGAUCUGUCCUCAUCAAACCUGUGCAGAGAGUCCUCAAGUAAGUGCUUGUCCUAUUUAACUUGAAUGCUCUACCUAAUUAUGCAUGAAAUAAUUAAAUACAGUAUAGUAGACUUUUACAUUUUGUGAGGGUUAAGUUCCUCAGCAACUUAUUUUUCUUGAAGUUUAUGGUACAAUUUUGUGAUCAUUCCUGCAAAAUUUGAACCUGGUUGAAACAUAAUUUGUGGGCCUGCAAAAUGUGAAUCUACUGUAUAUUAGAUGUUAGGUUAAGGUAUUAUUAUGACACUUUUACCCCAUGAAUAAAUAUUUGUGUCAAGUUAAGGGUUAAUAAAUCAGAAAUAGUAAGAUGGUCCUGACUCGCUUCAUAAGAUAUUGAUGUAUUAUGCUCUGCCGUAUUAACCCUUUGACUGUUUUGGUCGUAUAUAUAUACGUCUUAUGAGCCAGUGUGUGUGGCAAUGUGUGGUGUAAAUAUUAUGCAGAAAAUUCGGAGUGUGGAAAUUAGGAGAAGGUGUGGAGUUAAUAAAAGUAUUAGUCAGAGGGCUGAAGAGGGGUUGUUGAGGUGGUUUAGUCAUUUAGAGAGAAUGAAUUAAAGUAGAAUGACAUGGAGAGCAUAUAAAUCUGUAGGGGAAGGAAGGCAGGGUAGGGGUCAUCCUCGGUAAGGUUGGAAGGAAGGGGUAAGGGGGGUUUUGUUGGCUAGGGGCUUGGACUUCCAGCAGGCGUACAUGAACGUGAAUGGAGACAAAUGGUAUUUGGGACCUGACGAGCUGUUGGAGUGUGAGUAGGGUAAUAUUUAGUGAAGGGAUUCAGGGAAACUGAUUAUUUUUAUAUAGCUGGACUUGAGUCCUGAAAAUGGGAAGUACAAUGCCUGCACUCUAAAGGAGGGGUUCGGGAUAGUGGCGGUUUGGAGGGAUAUGUUGUGUAUCUUUAUACGUACAGUAUAUGCUUCUAAACUGUUGUAUUCUGGGCACCUCUGCAAAAACAUUGAUUAUGCGUGAGUGAGGUAAAAGUGUUGAAUGACGAUGAAAGUAUUUUCUUUUUGGGAUUUUCUUUCUUUUUGGGUCACCCUGCCUCGGUGGGAGACGGCCGCCUUGUUAAAAAAAAAAAAAAAUUCUAGCGCCUUCAAAUCAAGCAGGAGAAAGCUGGUAGG